GUGGGGAAUCUUAGACAAUGGGCGCAAGCCUGAUCUAGCCAUGCCGCGUGAGCGAUGAAGGCCUUAGGGUUGUAAAGCUCUUUCGUGGGGGAAGAUAAUGACUGUACCCCAAGAAGAAGCCCCGGCUAACUCCGUGCCAGCAGCCGCGGUAAUACGGAGGGGGCUAGCGUUGUUCGGAAUUACUGGGCGUAAAGCGCACGUAGGCGGACCAGAAAGUCAGAGGUGAAAGCCCGGGGCUCAACCCCGGAACUGCCUUUGAAACUCCCAGUCUUGAGUUCGAGAGAGGUGAGUGGAAUUCCGAGUGUAGAGGUGAAAUUCGUAGAUAUUCGGAGGAACACCAGUGGCGAAGGCGGCUCACUGGCUCGAUACUGACGCUGAGGUGCGAAAGCGUGGGGAGCAAACAGGAUUAGAAACCCGGGUAGUCC
rnacentral:rRNA from 1 species